UACGUAGGGCGCAAGCGUUAUCCGGAAUUAUUGGGCGUAAAGAGCUCGUAGGCGGUUUGUCGCGUCUGCCGUGAAAGUCCGGGGCUCAACUCCGGAUCUGCGGUGGGUACGGGCAGACUAGAGUGAUGUAGGGGAGACUGGAAUUCCUGGUGUAGCGGUGAAAUGCGCAGAUAUCAGGAGGAACACCGGUGGCGAAGGCGGGUUCCUGGGCCUUAACUGACACUGAGACACGAAAGCUAGGGGAGCAAACAGG
rnacentral:rRNA from 1 species